rnacentral:rRNA from 1 species
GAUCAUGGCUCAGGACGAACGCUGGCGGCGUGCCUAAUACAUGCAAGUAGAACGCUGAAGAGAGGAGCUUGCUCUUCUUGGAUGAGUUGCGAACGGGUGAGUAACGCGUAGGUAACCUGCCUUGUAGCGGGGGAUAACUAUUGGAAACGAUGGCUAAUACCGCAUAACAAUGGAUGACACAUGUCAUUUAUUUGAAAGGGGCAAUUGCUCCACUACAAGAUGGACCUGCGUUG